AUUGAACGCUGGCGGUAGGCCUAACACAUGCAAGUCGAACGGCAGCACAGUAAGAGCUUGCUCUUACGGGUGGCGAGUGGCGGACGGGCGAGGAAUACAUCGGAAUCUACUUUUUCGUGGGGGAUAACGUAGGGAAACUUACGCUAAUACCGCAUACGACCUACGGGUGAAAGCAGGGGAUCUUCGGACCUUGCGCGAUUGAAUGAGCCGAUGUCGGAUUAGCUAGUUGGCGGGGUAAAGGCCCACCAAGGCGACGAUCCGUAGCUGGUCUGAGAGGAUGAUCAGCCACACUGGAACUGAGACACGGUCCAGACUCCUACGGGAGGCAGCAGUGGGGAAUAUUGGACAAUGGGCGCAAGCCUGAUCCAGCCAUACCGCGUGGGUGAAGAAGGCCUUCGGGUUGUAAAGCCCUUUUGUUGGGAAAGAAAAGCAGCAGGUUAAUACCCCGCUGUUCUGACGGUACCCAAAGAAUAAGCACCGGCUAACUUCGUG
rnacentral:rRNA from 1 species